UCCAGACUCCUACGGGAGGCAGCAGUGGGGAAUAUUGCGCAAUGGGGGAAACCCUGAUGCAGCGACGCCGCGUGAGCGAUGAAGUAUUUCGGUAUGUAAAGCUCUAUCAGCAGGGAAGAAAAUGACGGUACCUGACUAAGAAGCCCCGGCUAACUACGUGCCAGCAGCCGCGGUAAUACGUAGGGGGCAAGCGUUAUCCGGAUUUACUGGGUGUAAAGGGAGCGUAGACGGUCCUGCAAGCCAGAUGUGAAAGCCCGGGGCCCAACCCCGGGACUGCAUUUGGAACUGUAAGGCUAGAGUGUCGGAGAGGCAGGCGGAAUUCCUGGGGUAGCGGUGAAAUGCGUAGAUAUCAGGAGGAACCCCGGUGGCGAAGGCGGCCUGCUGGACUGCAACUGACGUUGAGGUCCGAAAGCGUGGGGAGCAAACAGGAUUAGAUACCCGCGUAA
rnacentral:rRNA from 1 species